GGAGUGCCGGUGUCCUGCAGAGUUUGGCUCUAACCCAAAUUAAACACAGCUGAACCGGCUAAACAAGGUCUUACUAGACACUAGAAACUUCCAGG